rnacentral:sRNA from 1 species
CGCCGCCGUCAUCCCGGCGAAGGCCGGGAUCUCGCCGGCGCGUUUGGAUGCGAGAUCGAGAUCCCGGCCUUCGCCGGGAUGACGCUUUCG